UACAGAGGUCUCAAGCGUUGUUCGGAUUCAUUGGGCGUAAAGGGUGCGUAGGUGGCGGGGUUAGUCAGGUGUGAAAUCUCGGGGCUCAACCCCGAAACUGCACUUGAUACUGCCUUGCUAGAGUACUGGAGAGGAGAUUGGAAUUUACGGUGUAGCAGUGAAAUGCGUAGAUAUCGUAAGGAAGACCAGUGGCGAAGGCGAAUCUCUGGACAGUUACUGACACUGAGACACGAAAGCCAGGGGAGCAAACGGG
rnacentral:rRNA from 1 species